rnacentral:rRNA from 1 species
GACGAACGCUGGCGGCGUGCUUAACACAUGCAAGUCGAACGGUAAGGCCCUUCGGGGUACACGAGUGGCGAACGGGUGAGUAACACGUGGGUGAUCUGCCCUGCACUUCGGGAUAAGCCUGGGAAACUGGGUCUAAUACCGGAUAGGACCACUGCCUGCAUGGGUGGUGGUGGAAAGCUUUUGCGGUGUGGGAUGGGCCCGCGGCCUAUCAGCUUGUUGGGGGGGUGAUGGCCUACCAAGGCGACGACGGGUAGCCGGCCUGAGGGGGUGACCGGCCACACUGGGACUGAGAUACGGCCCAGACUCCUACGGGCGGCAGCAGUGGGGAAUAUUGCACAAUGGGCGCAAGCCUGAUGCAGCGACGCCGCGUGAGGGAUGACGGCCUUCGGGUUGUAAACCUCUUUCAGCACCGACGAAGCGCAAGUGACGGUGGGUGCAGAAGAAGGACCGGCCAACUACGUGCCAGCCGCCGCGGUAA